rnacentral:rRNA from 1 species
AUUGAACGCUGGCGGCAGGCUUAACACAUGCAAGUCGGGCGGAGAUGAGGUGCUUGCACCUUAUCUUAGCGGCGGACGGGUGAGUAAUGCUUAGGAAUCUGCCAUUUAGUGGGGGACGACAUUCCGAAAGGAAUGCUAAUACCGCAUACGUCCUACGGGAGAAAGCAGGGGAUCUUCGGACCUUGCGCUAAAUGAUGAGCCGAAGUCGGAUUAGCUAGUUGGUGGGGUAAAGGCCUACCAAGGCGACGAUCUGUAGCGGGUCUGAGAGGAUGAUCCGCCACACUGGGACUGAGACACGGCCCAGACUCCUACGGGAGGCAGCAGUGGGGAAUAUUGGACAAUGGGCGGAAGCCUGAUCCAGCCAUGCCGCGUGUGUGAAGAAGGCCUUUUGGUUGUAAAGCACUUUAAGCGAGGAGGAGGCUACUAGUACUAAUACUACUGGAUAGUGGACGUUACUCGCAGAAUAAGCACCGGCUAACUCUGUGCCAGCCGCCGCUGUAAAAC